GGAUCCUUUCGAAACUCAGUGUCAGUAUCAGUCCAGGUGGUCGCCUUCGCCACUGGUGUUCCUUCCUAUAUCUACGCAUUUCACCGCUACACAGGAAAUUCCACCACCCUCUACCGUACUCUAGUCAGGCAGUUAUGGAUGCAGUUCCCAGGUUGAGCCCGGGGAUUUCACAUCCAUCUUACCAAACCACCUACGCGCGCUUUACGCCCAGUAAUUCCGAUUAACGCUUGCACCCUUCGUAUUACCGCGGCUGCUGGCACGAAGUUAGCCGGUGCUUAUUCUGUUGGUAACGUCAAAACAGCAAGGUAUUAACUUACUGCCCUUCCUCCCAACUUAAAGUGCUUUACAAUCCGAAGACCUUCUUCACACACGCGGCAUGGCUGGAUCAGGCUUUCGCCCAUUGUCCAAUAUUCCCCACUGCUGCCUCC
rnacentral:rRNA from 1 species